GCCGGGUGCGGUGGCUCACGCCUGUAAUCCCAGCACUUUGGGAGGCCGAGGCGGGCGGAUCAUGAGGUCAGGAGAUUGAGACCAUCCUGGCUAACACGGUGAAACCCCGUCUCUACUAAAAAUACAAACUCAAGAGUAGGUGGGCUUCAGACACGCCACCAACCCACCAGGCUAAUUUUUGUACUUUUAGUAGAGACGGGGAUUCACCGUGUUGGAUAGGCUGCUCUCGAACUCCUGACCUCGGGUGAUCCGCCCACCUCAA
rnacentral:SRP_RNA from 1 species